CAGACGAGAUUGCGUUUCACUUUAUUUUGUAAACGGAGAAUGCAAAUGGCUCUCUUAUGGAGAAUAUUGCAACACUUCAGUGAGCAGGAACAGAAGCGGUGAACUUUGAUGGAGGUGCAUGUCGGACUCGCUAAGGCAGGUUCAUCCUACUUGGAAAUGAAAUGUAUACUGUUGUCAAGCAUGUGUGUCGGAGGAUCUCUUCAAGGGCUUGAUCGAGGAAAACCGAGGAGAAAUAAUUGCCUCUAUUUCCGGAUUCCAAAAUGGCCUCCAUGACGUCAUUUCCGGCGACCCGAUAGGACAUCACUUCCGGCCAUCAUGAUCGACGUCACUUCCGGUUCCUCCAAAAUGACGCUGUUUCCGACUCCUGCAUUCGCCGUCACUUCCUGCCAACCAUUUCCUGUUCCCAUAAUUCAUUUCUGUAUUAAAACGCCGUUUUGCUCCAUAGACUUUGUCAAUUGUUACAAUACAGUACUUUUGAUCAUUCAUUCGCUAUUUGUGCUCUAUUUUGUUUGUUGGACAAU